rnacentral:rRNA from 1 species
CUUGGUCAUUUAGAGGAAGUAAAAGUCGUAACAAGGUUUCCGUAGGACUCUGUCCUCGGGGCAUAUACCGCUGGAAAUUGAUCCUUCUGGGGUGCAUUUGCUGAAACCUUAGCGGGCCCUGACGUGGCUGACUUGACGACUCUAAAUAAACAGUCCCUAAAGAGCUUCUUUUUUUAGGCGCUGACCAACUCUGUAUGGUUGGUGAUACCGUUGAAAUGCUGGAAAAUCCUAACGGCCGUUUGGUACGACCCAGCUUGUGAAAGUUUGCUGGUACUGUGACAAUCCACGGCAUGAAUCUUUAACAAAAGAUGAAAUGGACCAUCAGCAGCCUAACACCUAAGACCUCCCCGGUUAUGGUGUUGGUUCACAGACUAAGUGGUGGUAGGCGCAGACUUUCGCUGCGUUUAAGAUAUAGUCGGCUCUUGAAUAGCUUCAAAUUUAUUACCCUGUCCCUUAAAUCCAAACUCUGUGUUGGAGAUGAAAAAACGUUCCGUAGGUGAACCUGCGGAAGGAUCAUUACCGAGUUAGGGUCUCCUUGGCCCGACCUCCAACCCUUUGUUUAUUAUACCAUGUUGCUUUGGUGGGCCUGCCUUUCGGGGCUGCCGGGGGCAUCACUGCCCCUGACCCGUGCCUGCCAGGAGCCUUCUUAAAUUCAGUCUUUAACCGUGCUGUCUGAGUCCCAGUAUUAAAAUAUAAAAAACUUUCAACAACGGAUCUCUUGGUUCUGGCAUCGAUGAAGAACGCAGCGAAAUGCGAUAAGUAAUGCGAAUUGCAGAAUUCAGUGAGUCAUCGAAUCUUUGAACGCAUAUUGCGCCCUUUGGCAUUCCGAAGGGCAUGCCUGUUCGAGCGUCAUUAUCACGGUAUCAAGCUUGGCUUGUUGUUGGGCCCUUUGUCACCCGGUGACAGGUCCGAAAGACAAUGGCCGGUGGAACAGACUCCACAUGCAACGAGCUGACCACAGCACGCAUCUGGCAGUUGUGUGACCCGGUUUUCACACCCCUUCUUUCUCCAGGUUGACCUCGGAUCAGGUAGGAAUACCCGCUGAACUUAAGCAUAUCAAUAAGCGGAGGA